CCUGGCCUGCCCGGCUCCCAGGCUGCCUCCCUCAGACCUCCGGCGCCGCGUCUCUCCCGCCCUGGCCUGAGUUCCCGCCGCGCUCUUGGGCCUGAGGGACCCGCGUGGAGCUCGCAGCGCCUCGGAAACUGGGGGAGGCAAGGCUGCACAAUGACCCAGACGGUGCCUUCUGCCAGGGGCGGCCCUGCCUGGGCAGCUUAUAGGAUGACAGCCUGCUCGCGGGCUUCCUGAGGAGGCUCCUGCCCGCCGAGUGUCUUGCUAAGUCACUAAAUCCAGUUGCCCAAGAUGGAUUUGAAUGUGUGAUCCUCCUGCCUCAGCCUCCUGGAGCUAAAAUUACAGGUGAGCAGCUUUGCUCCACCACACACACCCUGCCCUAAUGUUCUGCCUUCCCAUGGACCCCAAAACAAUGGAGCCAAUCAACAAUGGACUGAUACUUCUGAAAACAUCCGCUAGAAAUAAAUCUUUCCUCCUUAUAAGUUGUUUCUCUCAAGUAUUUUGGUCACAGUGAUGGAAAACUGAAUAACACAAAUAGCCAUGUGAUUUUUGGGUUUCACAGGUAGAAGAGUUACGCUUACUAUAGAUCUUAACAAUAUCAACAUGAUUUUUUUUCUUCACUUUUGAAGUCAAGAACUUCUACCUUUGUCCCUAAAGGAAUCAUUUAUGGCUUCUUUUGGUAAAUUCAAAUUGCAG